rnacentral:rRNA from 1 species
CCCUACGGGGUGCAGCAGGCGCGAAAACUUCACACUGUGCGAAAGCACGAUGAGGGAAUCCCAAGUGCCAGCUCGUAAGAGUUGGCUGUUUUUCUGUCUAAAAAACAGAGAGAGUAAGAGCUGGGUAAGACGGGUGCCAGCCGCCGCGGUAAUACCUGCAGCCCAAGUGGUGAUCGUUAUUAUUGGGCCUAAAACGUUCGUAGCCGGUUUAGUAAAUGCCUGGGUAAAUCGUGUAGCUUAACUAUACGAAUUCCGGGUAGACUGCUAAACUUGAGACCGGGAGAAGCUAGAGGUACUCCUGGGGUAGAGGUAAAAUUCUGUAAUCCUAGGGGGACCACCAGUGGCGAAGGCGUCUAGCUAGAACGGGUCUGACGGUGAGGGACGAAGCCCUGGGGCGCAAACCGGAUUAGAUACCCGGGUAGUCCAGGGUGUAAACGCUGCUCGCUUGAUGUUAGUUGGGCUCCGUGCCCAAUUAGUGUCGGAGAGAAGUUGUUAAGCGAGCUGCCUGGGAAGUACGGCCGCAAGACUGAAACUUAAAGGAAUUGGCGGGGGAGCAC